AGCAAAUCCCAUCAUCACUAAAAAACCCUUAAACAAUACUGAACAAUUCUAUACGAUUAUAGAAGAUUUUAUGUUAGAACUAGUAACAAGAAGAAGAACUUCUCCUACAAUGCAAGUAUAAAUCAGAUAGGACAUCCCACUGAUAAUUAACGCCCACGAACAAAAAUAGCAACAAAACAAGAAAACCCUAUUAAAUUAUGCGUUAACCUAACACCAGAGCAUUUCAAGAAAGAUUAAAAGAAAAAGAAGGAACUUGGCAAAUAUUAACCUCGCCUGUUUACCAAAAACAUCGCCUCUUGAAUAAAUAUAAGAGGUCCAGCCUGCCCAGUGACCAUGUUCAACGGCCGCGGUAUCCUAACCGUGCGAAGGUAGCGUAAUCACUUGUUCUUUAAAUAAGGACUAGUAUGAACGGCACCACGAGGGUUAUACUGUCUCCUCUUUCUAAUCAGUGAAACUAAUCUCCCCGUGAAGAAGCGAGGAUAAACAUAUAAGACGAGAAGACCCUAUGGAGCUUCAAACUACAAGGCACCUGCUCAAACACAAUCAAAUUUCAGAAAAACACUUAUACUCAAGCAAAAUGACCUUUAGUUUUAGGUUGGGGUGACCGCGGAGAAAAAAACAACCUCCACAUUGAAAGGAGCCCACUCCUUAGCCAAGAGCCACACCUCUAAGCACCAACAAAAAGACAUCAAUUGACCCAAUAUUUUGAUCAACGAACCAAGUUACCCUAGGGAUAACAGCGCAAUCCACUUCAAGAGCUCCUAUCGACAAGUGGGUUUACGACCUCGAUGUUGGAUCAGGGUAUCCCGGUGGUGCAGCCGCUACCAAAGGUUCGUUU
rnacentral:rRNA from 1 species